GUUUUCAUUUUAAAGUAAAAUUAAUGACCUUUGAAAUAAAUGAUGGGAUGAGGGAAUAUUACAGAAACUAUAGAAAUGCCAGGGAAGAUUUUAGGAGUGGGGGUUGAUUUUUUAUGCCGCGUGUUCUUUACUGCGAAUCUCUAAAAGUUGAAAAUAACUGCAAUUUUGACCUAUAAACGCCAUGGGACCAUGUAUUUUUUUCAGUAUUUUUUGUUAGGGCUUAGAACAAAGUUUGAAAUGAUGCUAAAGAUUUUUCUGAAAUUGUCAUAGUAAAGUACUGAGAGGGCCUAAGGUUUGUAUGGAGUUCUAUGGGAAAAUAAUUAGUGGUCUUUUCCCUAUACAAGAUGCUGUCUGAUGGCGUAGUGUAGAAUGUAGCGUAGAAUGUUUUCCAAGUCAGCUUAAAUGCAAAGGGUCUCUGCCAAAAUCUUUUGAGGAUUUUUCCUCUGCUAGAGCAUCCAUGGAUGCAAUUGAAACAAUCCAGGACAUCCCAACACAUAUGGAUAAUCAGGCCAUGGCCUACAGUAUGUACAAAAGUUGCCAUACUUUUAAAGCAGUAACUUGCACGCUUCCAAAUGGUGCACUUACAUUUUGCUCCAUGCUGUACCCAGGUUCUACUUCUGAUGUAGCUAUUGUACGUCACAGCCAAGUUUUACGAAAGUUCAAAGCUGGAGACCUUAUUUUGGUGGUCAAAGGUUUCACCAUUCAUGACCAGUUGCCCCAGGGUGUCUGCUUAAUUAUAAAAGCUCUUUUAUCGACACGAGGCCAGUUUACCAUACAAGAAGCAGCACUGUGUUACAAGAUUGCUAAAGCACUUAUUCAUGUGGAAAGAGCCAACGAGAGGAUAAAGAAUUACGAGAUUCUCCGUCACAUACCAUCUACUUACAGACCAAUCUCAACAAAAAUAUUUCAACUCUGUUCUUGUCUUGUAAACUUGCAAGCUCCACUUUUGAAAGAAAUUACUUAAAGAUACAUGUACUUAUUAUAAAUUUGCAUUGGCGUGUGACAGUAUACACUAAACAGUGAAGAUAUUCAUACCAAAGUGCAAGGGAUAUGCAAAUUUUGAUUUGUUAUCAAUGUCAAUGGUUAUAUUUGUUAACUUUGUAGUAUGUUGUAAUACAUAUACUUCAGAAAAUGAAAAUCCCUUUUGUUAGCAUGGAUUUAUUACAAGAAUGUUUGACAAUUCCAUUCUUCAUUUGACAAUAUAAUUUGGAAGAGGGUUUACUUAUAAUUUUAAAUCUCUAGUUUAAAGUAUAUUUACCUUUAAAGCACAACUCAACAAAUUCAUGUUUUCAACAAUUUAUCUAUUAAGAAAGACCAAAAUGUUACAUUUUCACUUUGAGAAUAACAUCUUCAAUUCAUUAAUAAAAUGAUUCUAAAUUUU